rnacentral:rRNA from 1 species
AGUCGAGCGGACAAGAUGGGAGCUUGCUCCCUGAUGUUAGCGGCGGACGGGUGUAGUAACACGUGGGUAACCUGCCUGUAAGACUGGGAUAACUCCGGGAAACCGGGGCUAAUACCGGAUGCUUGUUUGAACCGCAUGGUUCAGACAUAAAAGGUGGCUUCGGCUACCACUUACAGAUGGACCCGCGGCGCAUUAGCUAGUUGGUGAGGUAACGGCUCACCAAGGCAACGAUGCGUAGCCGACCUGAGAGGGUGAUCGGCCACACUGGGACUGAGACACGGCCCAGACUCCUACGGGAGGCAGCAGUAGGGAAUCUUCCGCAAUGGACGAAAGUCUGACGGAGCAACGCCGCGUGAGUGAUGAAGGUUUUCGGAUCGUAAAGCUCUGUUGUUAGGGAAGAACAAGUGCCGUUCAAAUAGGGCGGCACCUUGACGGUACCUAACCAGAAAGCCACGGCUAACUACGUGCCAGCAGCCGCGGUAAUACGUAGGUGGCAAGCGUUGUCCGGAAUUAUUGGGCGUAAAGGGCUCGCAGGCGGUUUCUUAAGUCUGAUGUGAAAGCCCCCGGCUCAACCGGGGAGGGUCAUUGGAAACUGGGGAACUUGAGUGCAGAAGAGGAGAGUGGAAUUCCACGUGUAGCGGUGAAAUGCGUAGAGAUGUGGAGGAACACCAGUGGCGAAGGCGACUCUCUGGUCUGUAACUGACGCUGAGGAGCGAAAGCGUGGGGAGCG